UAGCAGUAUUUCCUUAUGAAACUAUUCCUCAUCGUAAAAGCUUGAAGAAGGUCUUGAAUUGAAUUUAUACAGAACGGAAUCGAAGUCGGUACCAAAUAGUUGUCCCACUGAAUUCUUUGAAGCACUCAAUAAACGGCUUU